rnacentral:rRNA from 1 species
UACGAAGGGGGCUAGCGUUGCUCGGAAUUACUGGGCGUAAAGCGCACGUAGGCGGCUUUCUAAGUCGGGGGUGAAAUCCUGGAGCUCAACUCCAGAACUGCCUUCGAUACUGGAAAGCUCGAGUCGGGGAGAGGUGAGUGGAACUGCGAGUGUAGAGGUGAAAUUCGUAGAUAUUCGCAAGAACACCAGUGGCGAAGGCGGCUCACUGGCCCGGUACUGACGCUGAGGUGCGAAAGCGUGGGGAGCAAACAGG